GUGAUAACGAUAUAUCGAUGAUCCAGUCCACCAAGGUGGUAAGAAAUAGAAAAAUAAGGUGAAACGGGAGGGAGAUCGAUCGAUCGUGCUUGGUCACGGAUGUGUGAGUUUUCGUCGGACGUUGGUUCGCAAAGGUGGCCGCAUUCUCGACGUUGGCGCCGUGUGUCCGUCGCACCAAGUCCAGUAAACACGAACGAGAGUCAAUAAGUCAUAAAAUCCAACGCUUAGGCAUCAGCCACUCGCGUAUUUACGCUUCAACGUGAACGUCUCUUCUGAUCGAUUUUAUACAGGCUGUAUCAUAACACGGGGAAAAAAAAGAAGCGACACAAAGUUAACUGAUGGAGCGGCAUGUUGAAACACAUUAAGUCAACACCGACCAAUUAAGAAAAGCCAUCGAAGCUGAUACCAGAGAUACGAUCUGAUGACUAUGAAGGCGUGCACUUGGAAGGAGCAGGUGAUGGGUACCAUUGUCUUGAGUCAUUCAGGCUUCAGAGGCUUAUAAUUUUUUUUCCGAGAUGGCUGAUAUCAUCGAUUCAGAUCAAUAUACGUCCACGAGGACAUGACCGCUGACAGAUUGACUCAACUUUGGUCGGGUCGAAUUGAGAGAGGUCAAGAUCUUCUGGACAAAUGCCACGGAAUUUUGUGGCGAAAAAAAAUGAGGACGUUCACCUUCAAAACUCUACGUUGUGUUCAAAAGUUAAUCCCGAAAACAAUGUAACGGAACAUGCGCCACACAAGCAAUUUCCAAGAAUAAAAGUUUCUUCAGGCAACAUUGAUCGGAGAAUGGACUUCGAUGGAUGAUGCCUAACAUACUUUUGAUGAUCGAUGCCUCGCGAUCCGACGAUUCUAGGGGAGGUUCGAGAUGUCAGGUGCUUAUGCGACACCGUGUAUGUCCACGAGGCAGUAGAAAAGCAAGAAUGAAGGAAUCUUGUUUUUUAAGGGCAGCCAACGCUAUCGCGCCGCCCUCUAUUAAUCAUCUCUCGAUGACGGGUACUCGUUCGGUUUCUCACGCAUUCGAUUCAUCGAACUUACAUUUUGUGGCGUGCCGUCAGCUUUCUCGUCUGUUAUCGAAAGCUGGAGCUACUUUGAGCCUCCUUUGACUCCAUCGUGGUACCGCUAUCCGAUCUCUCACAGAUAGUUUACACAUAAUUGUACACCGAUUUGGUAACUGGACGAAUUAUUAAUAAAAUACAGUUGUUAAUGUUUUUAUGAUACACGGAAAUAUGUAUUGCUAUGUGUCCCAGUUUUUUGCUGUUAAACUAUACAGAAACUUGAAAAUUAGGAAGUUUCUCACUUUUAGGAAACAGGGAAAUCAGGAAAUUAAAGAAUUUAGGAAUUGUAAAGUUGUUAGAAAACCCUGAUUGGA